rnacentral:tRNA from 1 species
CAGGGAGACAACAAAAUGUUAAAUAUUAAUUUUGUCACCUUAGGUCGAUCGGUAUCUCAGAUUCUUAAAUUAUUUUAAGGAUUUCAUUUCCUAAGUUUUUUCUAGGUCACACCCAUUACUUUUCCUGGGCCAUUAGCUCAGGUGGUUAGAGCGCACCCCUGAUAAGGGUGAGGUCCCUGGUUCAAGUCCAGGAUGGCCCAUAUCUCUAUGUUGGGGGUAUAGCUCAGUUGGUAGAGCGCCUGCUUUGCAAGCAGGAUGUCAGCGGUUCGAGUCCGCUUACCUCCACUGAUUACCACCUCUUCCAUAAAUUUAAAGAAGGGAAUUGUUAAUAGAUGUGAUUUAGUUCUGAACGAAUCUAGCUUCCUAAUAAAUACAUUAAGAUGCUGGACUCAUUGAAUUUUAUUCAUUGUUUUCAGAGAACCUUGACAACUGCAUAGAUUAUUUUUAAAGACAAUAAGCAUCUUUAAUGGUGCAGAUUUAUUAUUUGUGCUAAUGCAUUAAUAACAAUUCUAUUGAGCUGAUGCUUCAAUUAUUUGAAGUUAUU